rnacentral:tRNA from 1 species
CGGGGUGUAGCGCAGCUUGGUAGCGCACCUGCUUUGGGAGCAGGGGGCCGCAGGUUCAAAUCCUGUCACCCCGACCA